rnacentral:lncRNA from 1 species
UGGCGCGUGAACUGGUGGGGCUUCUGCCUGGCUCAUCUUGAGGUGCUGAACUUGCCUCAUCAAUUCUGCUACUUGCUUCUGAAGCUCAUUGUUGGGAGCUACUGCAUUGGCUUCAACCCUCCUUCCUCUAGCUGAUUUCUGUUGAGAACUCGCUGCAAGUGUGUUGAAAAUCUCCUUGAGCUCAUCAGCUGUCUUCCGGGCAAUGUUGCCCCCUGCUGUACUGUCCACCAUAAACUGUGCCGUCUGAAUCAAUCCGUCAUAGAAG